ACGCUCGACACCUACGGGAGGCAGCAGUCGGGAAUAUUGCGCAAUGGAGGAAACUCUGACGCAGUGACGCCGCGUAUGGGAAGAAGGUUUUCGGAUUGUAAACCAUUUUAGACAGGGAAGAAAAAGACAGUACCUGUAAAAUAANCUCCGGCUAACUACGUGCCACAGCCGCGGUAAUCUGAGCGGGCUGGCAAGGC
rnacentral:rRNA from 1 species